UACAGAGGUCUCAAGCGUUGUUCGGAUUCACUGGGCGUAAAGGGUGCGUAGGUGGCGCGGUAAGUCGGGUGUGAAAUUUCGGAGCUUAACUCCGAAACUGCAUUCGAUACUGCCGUGCUUGAGGACUGGAGAGGAGACUGGAAUUUACGGUGUAGCAGUGAAAUGCGUAGAGAUCGUAAGGAAGACCAGUGGCGAAGGCGGGUCUCUGGACAGUUCCUGACACUGAGGCACGAAGGCCAGGGGAGCAAACGGG
rnacentral:rRNA from 1 species